rnacentral:rRNA from 1 species
CCUACGGGUGGCUGCAGUGGGGAAUAUUGGACAAUGGGGGCAACCCUGAUCCAGCCAUGCCGCGUGUGUGAAGAAGGCCCUCGGGUUGUAAAGCACUUUCAGUGAGGAAGAACGCCUGGUGGUUAAUACCCAUCAGGAAAGACAUCACUCACAGAAGAAGCACCGGCUAACUCCGUGCCAGCAGCCGCGGUAAUACGGAGGGUGCGAGCGUUAAUCGGAAUUACUGGGCGUAAAGCGCGCGUAGGUGGCUUGAUAAGCCGGUUGGGAAAGCCCCGGGCUCAACCUGGGAACGGCAUCCGGAACUGUCAAGCUAGAGUGCAGGAGAGGAAGGUAGAAUUCCCGGUGUAGCGGUGAAAUGCGUAGAGAUCGGGAGGAAUACCAGUGGCGAAGGCGGCCUUCUGGACUGACACUGACACUGAGGUGCGAAAGCGUGGGUAGCAAACAGGAUUAGAUACCCCAGUAGUC